rnacentral:rRNA from 1 species
AGAGUUUGAUCCUGGCUCAGAUUGAACGCUGGCGGCAUGCUUUACACAUGCAAGUCGAACGGCAGCACGAGUGCUUGCACUUGGUGGCGAGUGGCGAACGGGUGAGUAAUGCAUCGGAACGUGUCUUAAAGUGGGGGAUAACGCAUCGAAAGAUGUGCUAAUACCGCAUAUACUCUGAGGAGGAAAGUAGGGGAUCGAAAGACCUUAUGCUUUGAGAGCGGCCGAUGUCUGAUUAGCUAGUUGGUAAGGUAAAGGCUUACCAAGGCGACGAUCAGUAGUUGGUCUGAGAGGACGACCAGCCACACUGGGACUGAGACACGGCCCAGACUCCUACGGGAGGCAGCAGUGGGGAAUUUUGGACAAUGGGCGAAAGCCUGAUCCAGCAAUGCCGCGUGAGUGAAGAAGGCCUUCGGGUUGUAAAGCUCUUUCAGUCGAGAAGAAAAAAUUAUGAUUAAUAAUUAUAAUUGAUGACGGUAUCGACAGAAGAAGCACCGGCUAACUACGUGCCAGCAGCCGCGGUAAUACGUAGGGUGCGAGCGUUAAUCGGAAUUACUGGGCGUAAAGGGUGCGCAGGCAGUUUUGUAAGUCAGAUGUGAAAUCCCCGGGC